UGAACGCUGGCGGCAGGCUUAACACAUGCAAGUCGAGCGGGGGAAGGUAGCUUGCUACUGGACCUAGCGGCGGACGGGUGAGUAAUGCUUAGGAAUCUGCCUAUUAGUGGGGGACAACAUCUCGAAAGGGAUGCUAAUACCGCAUACGUCCUACGGGAGAAAGCAGGGGAUCUUCGGACCUUGCGCUAAUAGAUGAGCCUAAGUCGGAUUAGCUAGUUGGUGGGGUAAAGGCCUACCAAGGCGACGAUCUGUAGCGGGUCUGAGAGGAUGAUCCGCCACACUGGGACUGAGACACGGCCCAGACUCCUACGGGAGGCAGCAGUGGGGAAUAUUGGACAAUGGGGGGAACCCUGAUCCAGCCAUGCCGCGUGUGUGAAGAAGGCCUUAUGGUUGUAAAGCACUUUAAGCGAGGAGGAGGCUACUUUAGUUAAUACCUAGAGAUAGUGGACGUUACUCGCAGAAUAAGCACCGGCUAACUCUGUGCCAGCAGCCGCGGUAAUACAGAGGGUGCGAGCGUUAAUCGGAUUUACUGGGCGUAAAGCGUGCGUAGGCGGCUUAUUAAGUCGGAUGUGAAAUCCCCGAGCUUAACUUGGGAAUUGCAUUCGAUACUGGUGAGCUAGAGUAUGGGAGAGGAUGGUAGAAUUCCAGGUGUAGCGGUGAAAUGCGUAGAGAUCUGGAGGAAUACCGAUGGCGAAAGCAGCCAUCUGGCCUAAUACUGACGCUGAGGUACGAAAGC
rnacentral:rRNA from 1 species